rnacentral:tRNA from 1 species
UCUCUGAUGGCUCAGUGGUAAAGAAUCUGCCUACCAAUGCAGGAUACCCAGGUUUAAUCCCUGAUCUGAGAA